UAGAUACCCUAUUAUUAAAAGUGUAAAAAUAUAAAUAAUUGAGUAGUAAUUGUUGUGUUCAUGAAACUCAAAGAAUUUGGCGGUGUUUUAGUCUAAUCAGAGGAAUUUGUCCCAUUAUCGAUGAUUCACGUUAAACCUUACUUAAUUUUGUAAAUCAGUUUGUAUAUCGCCGUCAUCAGAUUAUCUUAGAAAAGGUAGAAAUUUUCAGGAUUUUGAAUAAAAAUUUAUGUCAGGUCAAGGUGCAGUUUAUAAUUAAGAGGAGAUGAAUUACAAUAAAAUGAUUUAAAAUGGAAAUUGAAUUGAAAAUUGGGAUUUGAUUGAAGGUGGAUUUGAAAGUAAAUAUUUAUAUUUUAGAAUAUUGAUUUUAGCUCUAAAAUAUGUACACAUCGCCCGUCGCUCUU
rnacentral:rRNA from 1 species